UACGUAGGGUGCAAGCGUUGUCCGGAAUUAUUGGGCGUAAGGAGCUCGUAGGCGGCUUGUCGCGUCGGCUGUGAAAACCUGGGGCUCAACCCCGGGCCUGCAGACGAUACGGGCAAGCUAGAAUUCGGUAGGGGAGACUGGAAUUCCUGGUGUAGCGGUGAAAUGCGCAGAUAUCAGGAGGAACACCGGUGGCGAAGGCGGGUCUCUGGGCCGAUAUUGACGCUGAGGAGCGAAAGCGUGGGGAGCGAACAGG
rnacentral:rRNA from 1 species